UACGUAGGGGGCAAGCGUUGUCCGGAUUUAUUGGGCGUAAAGAGCGUGUAGGCGGCUUGUCACGUCGGGUGUGAAAGCCCGGGGCUUAACCCCGGGUCUGCAUUCGAUACGGGCUAGCUAGAGUGUGGUAGGGGAGAUCGGAAUUCCUGGUGUAGCGGUGAAAUGCGCAGAUAUCAGGAGGAACACCGGUGGCGAAGGCGGAUCUCUGGGCCAUUACUGACGCUGAGGAGCGAAAGCGUGGGGAGCGAACAGG
rnacentral:rRNA from 1 species